GACGAACGCUGGCGGCGUGCCUAAUACAUGCAAGUCGAGCGGACGGAUGGGAGCUUGCUCCCAGACCGUCAGCGGCGGACGGGUGAGUAACACGUGGGCAACCUGCCUGUAAGACUGGGAUAACUCCGGGAAACCGGGGCUAAUACCGGAUAACUCUUUCCCUCACAUGAGGGAAAGCUGAAAGAUGGCAUCUCGCUAUCACUUACAGAUGGGCCCGCGGCGCAUUAGCUAGUUGGUGAGGUAACGGCUCACCAAGGCGACGAUGCGUAGCCGACCUGAGGGGGGGGUCGGCCACACGGGGAGUGAGACACGGCACAGACUCAUGGGGGGGGCAGCAGUAGGAAAUCUUCCGAAAGGGGCGAAAGUCUGACGGAGAAACGCCGCGUGAGGGAUGAAGGUUUGGGGAUGGUAAAACUCUGUUGGCAGGGAAAAAAAAGUACCGGAGUAACUGCCGGUACCUUGGCGGUACCUGACCAGAAAGCCACGGAAAACUACG
rnacentral:rRNA from 1 species